CAGCAGCCACGGUAAUACAGAGGAUGCGAGAGUUAUUCGGAAUGAUUGGCGUAAAGCGUCUGUAGGUGGCUUUUCAAGUCCGCCGUCAAAUCCCAGGGCUCAACCCUGGACAGGCGAUGGAAACUACCAAGCUGGAUUACGGUAGGGGCAGAGGGAAUGUCAGGUGGAGCGGUGAAAUGCGUUGAGAUCGGAAAGAACACCAACGACAAAAGCAUUCUGUUGGGCCGAAACUGACACUGAGAGACGAAAGCUAGGGGAGCAAAUGGGAUUAGAUACCCCCGUAGUCCCUGUCUCUUAUACA
rnacentral:rRNA from 1 species